rnacentral:lncRNA from 1 species
GUUAUUAGCUACCGUCCAAGCUGUCAAAGUGUGCAUGGCUCUUGUCUAUCUUUUCAGGUGCUUUCAGACAUUCACGUACUAAUCACAGACAUGGGAAGACUAUAAGACGUCAAGAUGAAAGGCUCCUAGCAGCUCUCAGUGUUCCCAACGAAACUGGCAGAAUGGCAGUGGCUGAUUACAAGCUGCCUUUGGUGAACAAAAAAACCGUGACCACAUUAGAAUCCGAGCAGAGCUCCAAUCCUGCAUUCUGAUGACACCUUACACAACGGCUCUCUGUUAUGGGGGGCUGGUACUUAAGAAGCUUUACUGCGGGCAUCCUACCCACUAUUUUUAGACUGUUUUGGUGGAAACUUAAGCUAGACUCUAGGCCAGCGGCGGAAAAAGAGCUUCAGGGACGUGCAUGUCUACAGUGUCAUGGAAGAAGCUAUUCAUAGCAAUACCACGUGGGAAAAUGUGAUGACCGAUGCCAUUCGCCAAGCAGCAACUGCCUGGUUGAAGAAUUGCAGUUUGCGAGC